CCUCCCUUGGCCCCUCCCUGCUCCCAUCCCUCCAGCUCCCCCUCUGACCUCCCUACUCCCCUCCUCUAUCUCUGCUCUCAGAUCCAGCAGCUAAGCAAACCAGAGGCUCAAUUACUGCUGGCUACCCCGAGAGGCAGAGGGAUCUGGUUUCUUCCACUUCUCUGGAGGGAGCAGAAGAGAGGGAGGUGGGGUGGGAAGGAAGAGGGAGGCAAUGGGAGAGGGAGGGAGGGAAGCAGAGGAAGAGAGAAGAAACGAGACAAAGAGGGAUUUUAACCAGAGGAACAGAGAGUCAAGCUGAGUCAGGUGCCACCUCAUUCUACACACACACUGGGAGCUACUUGUGGGGGAGUCCCCAAGUUCAAAGGAAGGGAUCAGCCUGCUGGGGGCAGUUUCCCCACCAGACCCAGGACCCUAGAGGAAGAAGAGGACAGCAACAGAUGUGAGGAGGAGAAGGAGCCCUCCCUGCCCGUGCCCAGGAGCCUUUGCUCCCCCACCCACUGAAGGCUGUGCAGCCGGAUGUAGCAGAAGUCAGCAUCCCACCUCCCAGGAAGUGGAAGUUGCUGGGAAACGAAGCUGGAGAAAGUUCAGACCAAACGUUCAGUUUGUGUUUGGUGAGCAACCACUGUGCACUGGACCCGGCAGGAAAUGCAGAGUUGGCAGCCGGCCCUGCCAGCCAGCUCCCAUCUGAGCAGACAGACAGACAGACCCCAGGAAGAGGGUCGAGUGAUGACAGAGGGCUGGGUGGGGUGCCAGCCCAUGCGGUGGCGACGGCUGGCGUUUGUCACCGGGUGGCUCACGGGUGGAGGGUGGUGGGCCCCGGGAACAGGGCACGGGUACACAGAGCUGUUCUUGGGGGGCUGCUUGGAAGGCUUUGCACAUUGGAGGCUUAAUCACUCGGCAUUUGCUGAGCUCACACGGUGGCUCCCUGGCACUCAAGCCACUCACAGGGAUGACUUCUAUGCCCAUCCCCAGAGAGGAAGUUUCCUGCUUCCUAGGGCUCAGCAGAGCGCUCUGACUGGCUCAUUCUCUCCCGGCGGCUGCAGGAUUCCAAGCUUUUGAGUGCCCUUCUCUCCUGACGGAUGUAAAUGUCAUCCUUCUAGCAUAGCGCAGAGCACAGAACCCCUCCGUCUGUGGGAGACCCCGGGGGCUC